GAUGAACGCUGGCGGCGUGCUUAACACAUGCAAGUCGAACGAAACACCUUAUUUGAUUUUCUUCGGAACUGAAGAUUUGGUGAUUGAGUGGCGGACGGGUGAGUAACGCGUGGGUAACCUGCCCUGUACAGGGGGAUAACAGUCAGAAAUGACUGCUAAUACCGCAUAAGACCACAGCACCGCAUGGUGCAGGGGUAAAAACUCCGGUGGUACAGGAUGGACCCGCGUCUGAUUAGCUGGUUGGUGAGGUAACGGCUCACCAAGGCGACGAUCAGUAGCCGGCUUGAGAGAGUGAACGGCCACAUUGGGACUGAGACACGGCCCAAACUCCUACGGGAGGCAGCAGUGGGGAAUAUUGCACAAUGGGGGAUACCCUGAUGCAGCGACGCCGCGUGAGUGAAGAAGUAUUUCGGUAUGUAAAGCUCUAUCAGCAGGGAAGAAAAUGACGGUACCUGACUAAGAAGCCCCGGCCAACUACGUG
rnacentral:rRNA from 1 species